UGUUCUGGUCGUACAAAACACAGGAGCCAAGAAGGGCUCUCAAGCUCAAACCCUAACAAGCAUAAAAUCAACAAAUUGAAGGGGUAAAUCCAACCUAAAUCGAAAUCCAAGCACGAAUUCAUGAUCACCUCGAUGAAGGGAUCAUAAGGUGAAGAUGGACCUAAUCCGGAUGAAGAUCAAGCGGCGAGCAAGAACCGAACACACGUUAAAUGAAGCUUCCGCGUCAAAUCUUGAUUUGUGUUGAUAUAAGUGAAUUAUGUAAACACUUAUAAAUUGUUUUUGAAAUGUUGUAAUCAUUUGGGAAUGUUGGUAUAACAAGUUUUGUAAAGACACAUUUUAGCAUAAAAAUUUGUAUCUUUUAUUAAAAUAUUAAUAAAACCAGACGGGCGUUACA